GGCUGGGGCUCUGCUGUGGGUGACUCAGGAGCUGGGCCCGGGGUGGAGGGUGUUCUGGGGCUCAUAGGGCUUGUUACUGGGCAGUGAACAGGAGCCUAGACCCCUUCAACCGAGAUGCAGCCUCCUCGGCUGCCCCGAGAGGCCGGCGGAGUCUGGAACUUGGGCUCGGCGACAGGACAGGAAUGGAGCUGGCCCAGGCCAGCGGGUCAUAGCUUCCAUCUGUGUGCGUGUCAGUGCGGACACGGCGGCUGAAGCCAGAUUCUGACUCACCCCCUUGCUCAUCUCUGCCUAGUGUCACCUUAAAGCUGGUCAGCAGAGAGACCAUGUGCGUCUGUGCACUUCACAAGUGGGGACCUUCCAGACCUGCCCGGCUUUCCACCUCACCAAGAAACGUCCUACCUUCUUUGAGCGCUCCAGCCCCCAAAUCAGCGGUCCCCUGGUCCCACAGUCAUUGGAAUUGUGCCCUUGUAAGUAAUAAGUUCACUAGUAUGGGAUCAACCAACACUGUCUUAUUGGGUGAGUUCCAGUGUUUUUAAUCUUCAUGUAUCUUAAAUCUGAUGUGGAGCCUAAAAUCCCAAAUGUACUCCUUCAGUCAGGCCCUCUGUGCUUUGGCGUCAACGGCCGGCAUUCUUGUGUGUUCAGUAAACUCUCUUUGGGAAAGAAAGGGGUAAACUUAGAUUCUCCUCCAGAUCUACAGAUGCAAUUUCAAAAUGACAUCUCCACCGAAGGACCUAGAUGCCCGCUGGCUGUGCAUGCUGGGUCAUUCUGUGUGUGUGUGUGUGUGUGUGUGUGUGUGUGUGUGACUGAGUGGUAUUUGGAAGCCUGCAUGCCUCUUUCCUAUAGUUAGAAAUUACUUGGCAGGUCAAAACAGUGAGCUCCAGGCCUUAUUCUCUGUCUUGAAUUUAUAGACAAAGGACCUUAGCUCCUUGAGGCUGAUGUGAGACAGCAACAACCUGUUUUAGCUCUUUUGUGGAUGGGCCGGGACCAGUGUGCAGGGACAUGGACGGAUAGGGUGGGGACAUGUGAGAAGGCAGGUCCAGGCCUGAGGGCUGUGGGUGUGACAGCGGGAGAAAGUUUGGACAGACGCUUAUAAAGUAGAAAAGAGCAGAAAAACAGGUUGUGAGAGUUCAGGGGCCAGUUAAGUAGGACGUUUCAUCUCAUUCCUUGUGUGUUUUUCCCAGGGAUCUAGAACUAGUUUUUCCUCCACAGUCAUGUGCAUCGUUGCCAGGGACACAGAGAAGACAUGCCGGCCAGGGACACAGGGAGGAGAUGCCGGCUCUUGCCUCCAGACUGGUCACCCUGUGGUACCACCUUGGGUUGGGCUGCAGCACUUCCUUCUUUUUAGGAGACAUGGGAGCUCCAGAAUCCAUCUGUUUCCGAAGCAGAGUGUGUGAUGCAUGCGUUCCUCUCCCCAAAACACUUAUUAAAUGCUCUUCAGUGCAAGGCACUGCCUGCACCUACAUUUUCCCACUGAAAAUGGCUGAGAAGCUAUCCAGAGGUGACUCGUGCUUGCACAGAGGGACACUUUCCUGGAAGCCCAAACACCUGCCCAAAGUCCUUGCUCUGCAGGAUCCCCAGUAGGUGCCUCACCUGCUCUGCUCGUGCUCAAGCCUUAGGCCCCCGGCUGUGCCCCUCUGGUCUGCGAGUCAUGUCCUGCUGUCUUUGCACCCCAGGGCCGAGCCCCACCUGGAAUGCGGUAAGCGCUCGCUGUGGACAGAGCCUCCCUCCUUCCUCGCCCCCCUGCACCCCCAGCCCUUCCUCCUACAGCGCAGUGUCCUGACUGUCCCCCAGGGCCACCUGUUGGCCUUCUCAGCAUGCCACGGUCUCCCAGGCUGUCGGAUCCCUGGACAGCCCUGAGGGAGAAAGUGCUAUGGGAUCUGGGUCAAUGGAUGAAGCCAGGCAGCAGGGAGCGUCUGAGGGAGAUGGACUGAGCUGCCUCAAGGUUCAAACCUAACUCUGGUUUCCUCCUUACAGGCCUGUGCGGGACCCCAGAAGGUGGGGGAAGGUAGCAUUCAAGUUACUCUGCUGCAUACAGGUUGGCAGUUGGUUCUGUGUUUGAAAGAGCAGCUAACGUUUAGCUGAGCCCGUGACAGGAGGGUUCCGGACAAAGGAGUGACCUAUUUCUCACAGGGUCCUGCGUACGGUUUGGUGGCCUAGGGGAGCCAUGAGUUUGCAUCAGCGAAGGCUUCUGCCCAGGAAGCCCGUCCAGCUUAUUCUGGGCAGUUGAUGGGACUCCCUGCGGUCCAGGUGAGAAGAAACCUCAGCUCAGGGCUGGCCGUGAAGGGUUGGGGACCCCCCACCCCUGGGUACAGAGUGGCUGGAGAACUACCCUUAUGACUUGACGGCGGGGUCCCGUCUCCCGCAGCCAACCCUGCAGGUGCAGCUGAGUCAGGAACCACAGACAAGGCGAGACUUGGGGCCCUGUAGCCCGGUGGUCGCGUUACAGGCAAGAGGUGACUUUUGGCUCACGUGAUUCAAGACCUAUUUUGUCACAGGAAUACAAAGUAGCAAGACAAAGCAAAGAAGUCAUUAACUGUUAUUAUUGUUGCUGUAGAGUUGCUUUAUGUUUUGUUAUAAAAACAAAAUUCACCUGA